rnacentral:rRNA from 1 species
UACGUAGGGUGCGAGCGUUAAUCGGAAUUACUGGGCGUAAAGCGUGCGCAGGCGGAUGUUUAAGUCAGAUGUGAAAUCCCCGGGCUCAACCUGGGAAUGGCAUUUGAAACUGGGCAUCUAGAGUGCGUCAGAGGGGGGUGGAAUUCCACGUGUAGCAGUGAAAUGCGUAGAGAUGUGGAGGAACACCGAUGGCGAACGCAGCCCCCUGGGAUGACACUGACGCUCAUGCACGAAAGCGUGGGAAGCAAACAGGAUUAAAAACCCUGAUAGUCCACGCCCUAAACUAUAUCAACUAGUUGUUGGGGACGUAAGUUCUUAGUGACGAAGCUAACGCGUGAGGUUGACCACCUGGGGACUACGGCCGCAAGAUUG